UAUGUGGCUCCAAGAAUUUUCCUUUUAUCCUUGUUAUUUCAAACUUUCUGGGAAGUUUUUACCUGAAGCUGCCAUUCAGGGAGUUUAAGGAGGCAUUGUUACAGAUCAAGACGAUGUGCAUUUUGUAAGCACUUUGGGGCCACUAUCAAAUGCUGUGAAGAGAAAUGUACCCAGAUGUAUCAUUAUCCUUGUGCUGCAGGAGCCGGCUCCUUUCAGGAUUUCAGUCACAUCUUCCUGCUUUGUCCAGAACACAUUGACCAAGCUCCUGAAAGAUCGAAGGAAGAUGCAAACUGUGCAGUGUGCGACAGCCCGGGAGACCUCUUAGAUCAGUUCUUUUGUAUUACUUGUGGUCAGCACUAUCAUGGAAUGUGCCUGGAUAUAGCGGUUACUCCAUUAAAACGUGCAGGUUGGCAAUGUCCUGAGUGCAAAGUGUG